rnacentral:lncRNA from 1 species
CUCGGUGGUGGUCCGUCGCAGGGGAUGAGGGGGGGUUUAUGCAUGUUUGAUUGGGGAUAAACUUGGCGGUCAUGCACCCGCCCACGAUCAUGGUAGCGGUUGUGCACGACCUAAUGGCUGGCGGCCAUUCGAACGGCCCGCGGAGUCGUCACUGGCCAUGACUCCGUGGCCUUAUCCUCUCAAUGGCUGGCGGAUCGGGUAGGGAAACACGGUUCCUCUGUUCUGAUCCAAAACAUUUUUGAAUUUUCGAAUUGAAGUCAGCGGGUGCUGCCGACUUCAUUCUGGGAUGGGCCUUUAUGGGCCGGUUCUCACAUACACGAUAUAAAUCAUGGAUAAAAUGUUUGAAGCAGUAGACUGAAUGAUUCUAAUAAUAGAGGAAUGACGUACAGAGUGGUAUGCAAGGGAUAUGUGGAUGAUUAACUCCUGCAGAUUUUUGCAAUGAUGUAACUCAUGCAACUUAUGUCCCCUUUAUACCUUCCAUCUAGAUCAUGCCACAUCCUAUUCACAAAAUUGCCUCAAAGCUUUCUGUGAAGCUAUGAAGCAAGUGGUUCUAUCACUAUGGUACCAAAAUAAAAGUUUUUGUUAAUGCUUUCUAAUUACAUCAGUUUGGCACCAAAAUCAAUUGUUUAUAGUUCUUCAAUUAGAUGAGUCCUAAAUCCUGCAUAAUAUCCUAUUCCAGCUACUUUAAAAGAGCUAGCAGACUGGUCUCAUGAAAAGUGAAUGUUUGUGUAUGUGUGUUUUUUUUUAAGAUCAAUUUUAGUAGGGGGAUCAAAAGGAUGAAAACUUUCAUAAGUGGCUGAACAUGAAGCUUAAUAAUUUAAAAGCUGAUAACUAUAAACAGAUGCUCACACAGAUGUAAAAUACUGCAUGUUCGUCCGAUUCCUGUUUACCUAAAAAUAUGCUAAACAGAUCGUUGUUAAAACCGACAAACAAAGUUUAAAUUAAUUUUACUCUUACCUUUCCUACUCGAAGAAUAGUGUUUGUAAGAGGUCGAUCCACAGAGAGGCGAUUGGAGUUGCAUAAAAAUUAGAACAUUCAUUCGGAUUCAAAAUCGAUUUUUGAAUAACAAAAGAAAAACAUUAUAUCNNNNNNNNNNNNNNNNNNNNNNNNNNNNNNNNNNNNNNNNNNNNNNNNNNNNNNNNNNNNNNNNNNNNNNNNNNNNNNNNNNNNNNNNNNNNNNNNNNNNNNNNNNNNNNNNNNNNNNNNNNNNNNNNNNNNNNNNNNNNNNNNNNNNNNNNNNNNNNNNNNNNNNNNNNNNNNNNNNNNNNNNNNNNNNNAAAAAGAAAAUUCAUUACAAAUAAAAGUGGAGAUUGGAAACCUAAUGUUUCUUCUCUUUUACAAAUAACAUAAAAAAAAUAAAACAAAAAGCUUCUCCCUCCCGCUAGAACAUAAAAUAUUAUUUUUUUAAUUCUUUUCUUCCCCCCAAGAACAGAGCAAUGCUCUGUUUUCCUUCUCAACCGAGCUCACCUCCUCCUCCUUGGACCCGCUGGCCACCACCCAAACCGAGCUCACCUCCUCCUCUUCGUUCUCCCCUUCUUAUAGUGCCACAGCAAGCGUGGAUGGCUGAAUCAUGGGCGGAAGGAGAGGGCGGACGGGCUCUUGGCUGGAACGGUGGCUUGAUCACAGCACGCUUGAUGGGCGCGGGAUCGCUGGAAUCGGGGAAGGUCGUCCGGGAUGCGGAAGGAUGAAUGCGAGACACACGUGGAUGGCCAGAGGAGGCUAGGAUGGGCUGGAUCUCUGCAUGCAUCACGGGAUCUUGGACAUGGAAGGAGGGAGGAGCUGCAGACGGGCGCCGAUCCGGAAGGAGGACGGCGUGAUUGCUGGGGUGCCGGAUGAAGAAGAUCCCGGCUUGCUGAUUUGGGAAGGAAGAAGACGCUGCGGGAUGAGCUGGAAACGUUGGUUGGAGACGCGUGGAUCACUGGAGGGGCGGACGUCGGUUGCUGGCUAGCGGGCUGAGGCGGAGGCUGCCGUGGGAUCGUCCGGCUUGGAUCACGGGAGAGGGGCUGGAGCUUACUUGGAAAGCGCCGCGGGACCACUGCUAGCAUCACGGGAGGGAAGAGCUGGCUCGGGAGCUCUCGAUGUGGAGGAGGCCGGACGGGAUGAGUGGCUGUGAGCCGCUGGGAGCAGCGUUGAAGACGCGGAAUGGAAGAGACGCACGUGGGAUGAGGCGGAGGAGCUGCAGAUCUGGAAAGAGUUGGAGGUGUCGUGGACAGCGGAUGGUGGCGUGAUCACGCCUUGCUGGAACGUUGAAUGGGUCAUGUGCCAGUUUCUGCAAUGGACUUAGAUUUUGGAAGGUCUGGGACUUUCUUUGCCCUCCUGAGAUGAGAGCUGGGAGAUGCCAAGUUCCGUCCAAUUAGUCAUAUAGAUAAAAAAAUAGUGUGAUAUGAAAUUUGGCUUGUAGACGGACGGACUGAGUUCGUCACGGGUCAUCUGUUCUGACUGGAGGUUAAGUGCAAGUCUUUCAAGUCAUGGGUCACCCAGCACCUCAUAGUUAUGAUAUGGCCAAAUUAGAUUUGCCCAAAAUUCCUUCCCAAAAACACGAAGAAAAUGGACUUGAUUCGGACCCGAACCUGACUCGGACCCGACCCGAUAUUCAACCGGAUCGGAUCUGGGGAGGGAUCCUUUUGAAGUCAAAUUUGUACUCAAUGUGCAUUUUAUCUCUAAUUUAUGAUAAUCUGUGUCAACCCCAAAUAUAAUAUUAAUCCAGUGAAUUUAUCAUUAUCGGUUAGCAAUAACACUAAUUUUAGUGACAUGUAGGUUGCACUUUUGUGCUCUCAUCACACCCCCCAACUAGCUUAUUGCUAGUCUCUAGCAAUUAACAAGCAAACGAUAAAAUGAGGGCACAAAAAGAUGUAGUCUAACUUAUGACUUUUUCUCCUUUUUUUUUUUGAAUUGAAGCUAAAUACACAAACUAAGAUAUGCACCCAUUUUCGUAGGGAGUAACGAUUGCACUUAGCACGUGCAACAAGCCUUUAAACCCCUAGGUUACCCUAGUGGACGAGUGCUGUCUCGUGAGGGUUUGCAGUGAAGUUACCCACAAACUUCAUUAGUCAGGAAUUUCUAAUGUUUAACUCAAAAUUUGAACAAGUAUCAUUGUAUGAACUUAGAAUUGCAAGGACAAUAAAGACUUAUUGCUAUCAUAUUUAAGCCGACUCUAACUCAAGUUCCAUUACUCCCCAUCUAUCUGCUAACAAGUCAAGAAUGUAGUGAGGUGCAAGAUAAUAUCAUAUAAAUGAGUGGCUUUCACUUACUUCCAACAUGAUCACUCCAAUUUUCAAGAUUUUCUAGAGUUAAAUGGUAAUGAACACCCCAAUUUUUUUUUAUUGUUAUAUUUUUUUUUAUCAGACUGAAUGCUAAGAAGAAUGACUUGUGCAAUAUCUAGCCUUAUUAAGCUUUCUAGCUGACCCAUGUAGCGAGUGUUAGGCCAAUGACUCCUGAUCCAGAUGGCUCAGGGCACUAGGUGUAGAGACACCCUAACGGGCUUAAUAACUCAAGUUAACUAGGCUUCAAGGCCAAAUUAGUCACUCAAAGUUUAAUCUCAAUCAUUCUCAUCUUUUUACGCGAACACUCGCUGCUUGCCAGGCAAGAGGCCCGGUUACUCAGUGAGAAGACUUAAAAUAAACUUAUUAUUUUAUUUUAUCUUUUUUUUUUGAUUAGGGGGUUCAUUACACAUAUAACUUUAAAUUAUCCCGAAUAUUAAAGUAUUCAUAUUAGUUGCAAGUAUACAUACCCCACUAUUUAUGUGCUUACGUGUAGGUGCUAAAUCAUCUUGUAUUAUAUUAGCAGAAGAUAGGUGGGACGAAAACUCAAGCUAGAAUUGCUAUCAUAUUCCUUAACUCAAAGCUAUUGUCAAAGCAAUUCCUAGUUUGUACAGCCAAAAAGAUUAGAGUUUGAGUUAAAAAUUUGAACUCCUUUUUUUUAUUUUAAUUUUAAUUUUUUUUUUGGCAUCAAAAAUAUUCUCACCCCCGUACCUAAAUCUAACAUUGUCCUCAAUGUUAAAGAAGAUUUAAAGCAGUAAUAGGAUAGAGGAGAAGUUACCUGAUAUGGGUAGGUAAAUUAACAAUUGGGGUAAAAAAAAUCCCAAACCUGCAUGUUAGUAAUUUUUUUUUAUAAUAUUUACAUGUUGGGUUGCCUUCCAAGAGCGCUAAGUUUUAUGUCUUCAGCCGGACAAAAUGUGAAUCCUCUUUUUUUUCAACCAUUAUCUAAGAAUGGUUUUGGAAGAGUCCGAUGAAGAACAGUUGGCUGAUGACGAUCUAUGCUCAUAAGGGGAAUAGAACUAAGGGGCGCAUGCUUGACCCCUUUCUCGGAAUGGACAAGGUAAGCUUCUAAAGGGUCCUUAUUAUAAGUUUGUAAGAAAGUCUCCUGAACCAGACUUUCAAUCAUGUCAACUUCAUUGAUUUUUUUGUCGUCUGGUGGUUGUUUACUUAUGUUGAAGACAUUAAGCUCGACUUUCAUGUUGCCAAAAGAUAAUUUUAGCAUCCCAUUCGACAGUUGAUCACAGCAUUUGCUGUGGCUAAGAAAGGCCUACCUAAAAUUAUAGGUGUAUGACUGUCUGGAUGUAUUGCAGGUUCAGUCUCAAGGAUAACGAAGUCCACAGGAUAGUAAAACUCGUUUACUUUCACUAUUUCAUCCUCUACAAUCCCCUUGGGGUACUUCACUGUCCUAUCUGCUAAGGACAGGGUAAUAUUUGUAGGCUUUAAUUCUCCCAAACCUAACUUUUGGUACACAUAGUAGGGAAGUAGGUUCACACUGGCUCCUAAAUCUAAUAGAGCUCUCUGGAUGAUCGUCUCUCCUAUUUUUAUUUCAAUGGUUGGGCAACCAGGGUCUUUGAAUUUCGGUGCAAUCUGUUGUUGAAUGAGAGAUGAGGCUUGUGCAGCCAUAACAGCUUGUCUAGGAAUACUGGUUUUUCUUUUGACCGUGGUGAGGUCUUUCAAGAAUUUUGUAUAGGAGGGAAUUUGUCUUAUGGCAUCGAGAAAAGGUAUAUUUAUUUGAACAGUUUUAAAAACUUCCAUUAUUUCAUCAAAGUUAGAUUGUUUCUUGGAGUCCUGAAGUCUACUGGGAAAGGAAACCUUAGGUUUGUAUGUUUCUAUGGGUUCUUCCUUUUUGUCUGAUUUAUCCUGUUCUUGACCCCUCUUCUGAAUAGGGUUCUUAUCGGAUUCAUUUUUAUUUUCUUUUUCAUGUUCAGGAAGUUGGACUUUAUUGUCCACUUGCUUGCCAGACCUUAAAGUGGUAAUCGUCUGGACUUCAUAGGUCGGAUUUCCAUUAGAAUCGAUUUGAUACUGACCUCUCUGACCUUGAUUUUGUUGUCUACUAGGGUUAGGCACUGGUUGACUAGGUAGUUCACCUUUCUUUCUAUCCCCUAGAGAGUUUGCUAUUUGGCUUAGACUAACCUCAAGUUUUGCAAUCGCUUGCGCAUGGAAUUGGUUAGUUUGGGCUUGGGCUGUGUUGGUCUGUUGUUGUUGCUUAAUAAAAUCUUAUUGUUGCUUCAUCAUAUUAACCAUCAUGGUUUCUAAUGGUGAAGGUUGCUGCGGGAUAGGGGCAUUAUAAGGAGGUACAGAUGGAACCAAAAGUUGGUUCAUUUGUGAUGGACCUAUCCUGGGGAAGUUGUUCUGAAAAUCUGGUAGACCACCUUGAUGCUGAAUAGGUUCGUUCUGCUUGUAUGAGAAAUUUGGGUGGAACCUAUUAUCAGGAUGGUAGAAUGGACUGAAUGAAUUGGGAGUGGGCUUCUUGAAGGCACUAUACGAAUUUAGAGCAUUUGCUUGCUCGGCCUUUAUGGUGGGCAGAUUAGGACAGCACUCCACUAGAUGUUCCGGACUGUUACACAAGACACAUAAACUAUGUGACUCGUGAUCCACUUUCAUGAUGGGAUUUGACUCUUUGUAUGAACUCGAACUAGUGAAAACAGUGAAAGCAUCAAACUUUUUACUUAAGUUGUUCAUUCUCAGUCACCAGAUUGGACAUGACAUUUUUGAGUUCUGGAUAUGUUUUCAUUUCAUAAUUAUCUGGUUUUCUAGAUCCGAACUCAUCUCUAUUUACUUCCUCACCAUAGCUACUCCAAUUUUGGGCAUUUUCGGCUAAGUCAACAAGAAAUUCAUAGGCUUGAUCUGGGGUUUGGUUCAUGAACCUACCUUUGUGCAUGGACUCGAUCAUGUUUCUAUGUGCCGGAGGUAGUCCUUUAUAAAAGAAGUGGACCAGAUCAGCCUUAUCAAGCCCAUGGUGUGGGCAUUUGACCAACAAGUCAUGGAAUCAUUCCCAAGUUUGGAAGAAUUCCUCUUCAGAUUUCCCUCUAAAAGUUCUUAUGGCAUCCUUAAUUUUUUCUGUUUUAAUCAUGGGAUAAAAUUUUGCCAUGAACUUCCUAGAUAGUUGUUCCCAUGUUGUGAUGGAAUUUGGGGCCAGAGAAUAUAGCCAGGCCGCGGCUCGAUCCUCUAAGGUCAUUGGGAACAAUCUCAAUUUUACACUUUCUUCAUCUAAAUUUUGAUUUUUGAAAGUUUGACAAAUUGUCAUGAAUUUAUUUAGAUGAAUGUAGGGUUGUUCACUUUCAAACCCAUGGAAUUUGGGUAGCAUAUUUAUUGUCGCAGCCCGAAUUUCAAAUUGGGCUGCAUUAUUUAUUGGCAACACUAUACAUGUAGGUGGACUAGCGGAUGCAGGAGUGAAUAAUUCAUUCAGGGUUCUAAUGUGUUCACCCAUUGUAGAGAUUGACAGUUGAUUUACAGUUCGCAAGUUGUGAUAAAAAGUUCUGUCAAUCUCAGGAUCAAAUGGGGUUAACUUAUCCCUUAAUGACCUUCUACCAUGCAUACAUUAUCAACACUUCAUUAUAUUUGACUCCUAUAAUGAACGAAAUCCUAAAAGAAGAGAAGGGCUAGACACAGAUGACCACAACAAUUUGACCCUAUUAGUCUUAGAAUUAAGUGAGGUUUAGUAGCUUCUUAAAUCUAGUUGCACAGAGAUUUAUCAGGUUAAAAAGUUUCUGAAAUUCUCUCCUAGAUUAGACAGCUCCUAAUCUUCCUUUCAGAUUAAGCUUGAGCUUACCAGUUAAGCGAUUCAGUAACCAGUGACCAGGAAAGUCCCGAGGUGUGUGGUGGUGCCAGAAGGGUACACCGAUACCACAAUACCCGUAACAGUUCUCACUGUUGUAAAACUUUCCUAGACAUCACCAAUUACUAAAUCCUCACUGGAGUGGCUUUCAGCCGCUUCUUUCCAAGAGCCUAAUUGAGCUCGAAAACCCUAAGGCCAACGUCUAAUUUGAUUUUAAUUUAAUUUGGCUUAGGAUAUGUAUGCAAGGUGGUGAUUUUUGGGCUAAGGACNNNNNNNNNNNNNNNNNNNNAUUUUUUUAUUUAUUUUUUUAAAUUUUUUUUAAAUUUUUUUUAAAUUUUUAUAUAGCAAUAACUUGAAUGUAAACUAAAUACAAUCCUUAUGCGUCAGUCAAUCUCCGAAUGCCCGUUGAAUAAGCUCUGGAGAUUACUCCGUGAGGAGUCCCAAUAGAGGUAUGAUAACCUCGGAGGAUUGCACCCUAUCAAUUACUAGCAAAAAUAAUUUUUUUUUUGAUUUAAUUUUUUCUUUUUAAAUUUCAAAUUUCAAAUCUCAGAAUUCAAAUUUUGAAUUUAAAUUUUUUGAAUUUUUGAAUUUUGAAUUUUUUUUUAUUUUUUUUUGAAUAUUAAAUUUCGAAUUUCAAAUUUCAGAAUUUAAUAACUACGAAAUUAUUAACUAGAAAUUAUCAAAAUAAGGAAAAUUAAUAAAAAUAAAAAUAAAAACUUACUACCGGAGUGCGUUUACUCCGGACAUCCAAAAUUCGAUUUGAUCUUCGUGAUCGUUCUUGCUUCUCGAUUUGCCUCCCCGGCAACGGCGCCAAAAUUUUGUUCGUCCGAUUCUUGUUUACCUAAAAAUAUGCUAAACAGAUCGUUGUUAGAACCGACAAACAAAGUUUAAAUUAAUUUUUCUCUUACCUUUCCUACUCGAAGAAUAGUGGUUGUAAGAGGUCGAUCCACAGGGAGGCGAUUGGAGUUGCAUAAAAAUUAGAACAUUCACUUGGAUUCAAAAUCGAUUUUUGAAUAAUAAAAGAAAAACAUUAUAUCGGGGAUGAUGAUAGAUUCUCUAGUCUAUCAGAGAAUCUUCUUUAUUUAAAAAUAAUAAAAAGACAAGUACUUAGAAAUCAAAGAGCAUUUAUAAAUUCAUGAAAUGUUUAACUAUUCAAAGAAAAAUUUUGGCAUAAAUUAAAAUGGAUGAAAACAAGUGCUAAGAAGAUCAAAAGCCUAGAACAUAAAUUGCAUAAAAGAAAAUUUAAUGUAUUGCAUCAAAGAAGAAUUAAAAGAUUGCAUUAAAAAAAAUAGAAAUUAAGUUGAACCUAGAACAAGGAUUGCAUGAAAAAGAAAUGAUAGAUUUGAUAAAAAGAAAAUUUAUUGCAAAUAAAAGUGGAGAUU